rnacentral:ncRNA from 2 species
GGAAGUCCGGUGAGAAUCCGGCACAGACUCUCUCUGCUGUGAUGGCAACGAACAGGACAACAGGCCACUGGAGGAAGUUCUCCGGGAAGGCGUCCCAAGUAGGAUAGAAAGCCUAAGUCAGAACAC